CGGCGGACGGGUGAGUAACACGUAGAUAACCUACCUAUAAGACUGGGAUAACUUCGGGAAACCGGAGCUAAUACCGGAUAAUAUUUUGAACCGCAUGGUUCAAAAGUGAAAGACGGUCUUGCUGUCACUUAUAGAUGGAUCCGCGCUGCAUUAGCUAGUUGGUAAGGUAACGGCUUACCAAGGCAACGAUGCAUAGCCGACCUGAGAGGGUGAUCGGCCACACUGGAACUGAGACACGGUCCAG
rnacentral:rRNA from 1 species